AUGUUGAUUCUUCUUCUCGCGGUUUUGCUCGCCUUUUCAGGCCCAAUGAAAGGAGAACAACAUUUGGAUGCAGGUGGCGGUGGUCUCAUGGCGCCUCCUCCUGAUCAGGAGAGCAGCCAUCUGGCUCCUUCUCCCCAAACUUCUCCAAAGAGUAACCCAACUCCACUUCCAGUGACUGGUCAUUUGCCUCAUCCUCGGACUCCAUUGACCCAGCCGCCUCCACGAGGCUGUGUGCAAGUGAAGAUAAACGUUUGGCCGUGCUUCCUCGUUUUUUGCGCAGCAGAAUGUCUCCUGGAGUCAUAUAGGGGCGGCCUGUGUCGUGGAGGUGCCUGCUAUUGUGUCAAGUGUCCCGUAGCAAAGACUAGUCCGUCAUUACAUUGA
rnacentral:rRNA from 1 species